UUAUUAAUUAACUACACUGUUAUUGGACUUAAUAUGAUGAAAACUGCCUAUGCAAUAUAAGGUGUAAACUCGGCCAAUACAGAAUAACUCGGCCAAUAUGGAUUUUUUUCUGUAUUGGCCGAGUUAUUCUAUAUUGGCCGAGUUGACACAAAUACAGGAUUUCGGAACGUCUCUAGUUUUUAUAUCGAAAGUCAAAAUAAACACAAACUGAAAGUAAACAGUUGUUUGGAAGACGCAGUUUUCAAUUUUGUACUUGUUUGGCUUUAUUACAUUUUUUAUAUGAACGCCACUGACGAGUCUUAUGUAGACGAAACGUGCGUCUGGCGUACUAAAUUACAAUCCUGGUACUUUUGAUAACUGUUUUAUUUAGUCAUCAUAAACAUGCUGUAAAGUUCAGUAUGGCAUAUAUUUCAGGCUAAAGACGGUCACAUUAAUUUAAAAAGCAUUUUGAAAGCAAACGAUGGAAUUAUUUCAGGUU
rnacentral:lncRNA from 1 species